rnacentral:rRNA from 1 species
UAGGGAAUCUUCGGCAAUGGACGAAAGUCUGACCGAGCAACGCCGCGUGAGUGAAGAAGGUUUUCGGAUCGUAAAACUCUGUUGUUAGAGAAGAACAAGGACGUUAGUAACUGAACGUCCCCUGACGACAUCUAACCAGAAAGCCACGGCUAACUACGUGCCAGCAGCCGCGGUAAUACGUAGGUGGCAAGCGUUGUCCGGAUUUAUUGGGCGUAAAGCGAGCGCAGGCGGUUUCUUAAGUCUGAUGUGAAAGCCCCCGGCUCAACCGGGGAGGGUCAGUGGAAACUGGGAGACUAGAGUGCAGAAGAGGAGAGUGGAAUUCCAUGUGUAGCGGUGAAAUGCGUAGAUAUAUGGAGGAACACCAGUGGCGAAGGCGGCUCUCUGGUCUGUAACUGACGCUGAGGCUCGAAAGCGUGGGGAGCAAACAGG